AAGUCACAGUACACAGCAUCAUAUGACAAUCUUCGCUAUCAUUUAACAAACUGACAUUCCAAUAAUAAUGAUAAUGCAGGUAGGCCUAUAUACGAUCCAGAAUUGCAUAAAUAUAUUCACUAGUUCUUAGCAGUCACAGCUGAAUAACGAGAGAAUAUGAAGGCACUUUUGCAUUUGUUCAUGAGUUGUAUCGAAUCCAAAAUUUUACCAAUUUCUUUAAGAAAUCCCUGUAGAGUAGGUGGGGUUUUUUUGUAUAUCAUAGGUUAUAAUGUUUCCGAUACCGCAGGACUGAGCUGCAAACUACGUCACACCAGAAGCGGGGUGUUUCCUGUUCUUGAGUACUGACCAAUAUAGCUGCAGUCGUUUAUGUUCAUCAAAAUGUUCGUAAAUUAACGAUAACAGAUGUCGAUCAGGGCAUCGUUUAAAGCUCCAGUGCUGGAUGAUAAAGCAAGCGUACUCAACAAUGGCGACUGAAUGUUAUGUGAUGUUCACUUUUCUAUCAGGAGACGUGUUUAUUUAAGCAGAAAUGGAUUUGGUUCACCUUACUAUUCUGGACCGCAGAGCUUUCCAGCCGUCAGCAUUUGUCGGAUGAGAAGGAGUCCUACCCAGGCACAAUGUGUCAUCCGCUGCUUCCGGAAAGGACCCCGUCCCCCGCCUGUGCCUGAGCCCCUCCUGAGCCCCUGCUGAGCUGCAGCAGCCAGGCGUCUCUCGGCCCUCCGACGGCGAUCACCAUGUGAAGAAGGCUUACCGCAUGCUACGUUGUGCGGCGAACCCAGUUUCCUCUGGCAGUCCACUGAUGUGUGGUUAGGUGAAUUUGCAUUGCAUGUGAGUCUGUGUGCCCAGUGAUGCACUGGCAUCCUGUCCAGUGUGUUCUCUGCCUUCUGCCCUGUGAGCUUCCUGGCAGAGCAUAGAGUGUCCCUGUACUAAAUGAGCAGUUGGUAGAUUAAUGGAUGGAUGGAUGGAUGGAGAAUCAGGCGCUGCCAUAUUAAUUCCUGAGAUUGAUCUUUGUAUGUGUUUGGCUUAACAAAACAGAUUUUCUUGACACUUACUUGUUCCUGUCACCUGAUCGAGAAGUUGAUUCUGAUUGUGUGAUUCUGUUCCCUUACAGUCUGUUCAGCAAAGUCUGGCUGCGAUGAGGCUCCCUGAGUCCUCUCAGAAGAGACCACUUGCUCAAAAAAAGAAAAAAAAAAUGAGCGUAGGAUUAUUUAUCGCCCACAAGAGGGCACUGUGUCUCACCACAGUGCAUGUGAAAAUUGUUUUGGGUGAACA